UAGUUUUAUUCUUGCUAGUUUGCUUGUUUUUGGCUUGUUGUAUAUGUAAGUUUUUGCGCGAUUUUUCUCUCUUAAUGAUUUAUUCUUUUUAUUCGCAUUAUCUAUUUUUAUAUAUUGGAGCAAUCCAGAUUUGGUUAUGUCUUUUAGGGUUGGUUAAAUUUGUGCCAGCAGCCGCGGUUAUACAUGGGACUCAAAUAAUUAUUUUUGGCUGAUAGUUUUAUUUAAUUUCUUUUGGGUUGUGUUUUCUUGUUUUUUGGUGAAAUUUUAUAUUUUUAUUAUUUCCUUCUUCUUGUUUUGUAAGCUAUGAAAUCUUUUUUUUAAACUAGGAUUAGAUACCCUAUUAUUUUUGAUGUUAAUUUUCUGGCCUGAGUAGUAUUAGUUAUUUUCUUGAAACUUAAAGAAUUUGGCGGUAUUUCAAUCUGUUCAGAGGAAUCUGCCCCGUUAUCGAUAACCCGCGUUGGACCUUACUUGGUUUUUUUGUUUGUAUACCGCCGUUAUAAUGAGGAUCUUUUUAGGGGCUUUCAAUUCUUACUUUUCUUUAUUUUGAUAUAUUUCAGGUCAAGGUGCAGCUUUAUAGCUUAGUUGGAGGUGGAUUACUUUUAUAUUUGUCUUUGAAUUUUUACUGAAAUUGUUUUUAUGAAAUUGGAUUUGAUUGUAAUUUAUUGUAGAUUGUUUUAAUGAUCUUAGUUCUGGGAUAUGCACACAUCGCCCGUCGCUCUCGUUGUUUUGAGGCGAGAUAAGUCGUAACAAAGUGGUCUUACCGGAAGGUGAGGCUAGAAUG
rnacentral:ncRNA from 1 species